ensembl:lncRNA
AAAAUAUUACGAAAUAUGAUUGUUUACAUUAAAAUGCAAAAGUUGAUGAAAUAGUAUGAUAAGGUGAAAAAAGUGACAUUUUAUGUCUAGAAAGUCAGUUUUCAUCAAAAGUACAAUAACAAAAUUAGUUCCCAUUCAUCCUGUGUCCCCUAACACACUUGUGCUCUUUAUCCGCUCAAAACGCUAUACAGCGAACGAGAAGGCGCUAGGAGCAAGGAAAGUGGUUUUUCUAACAAAGUCAUAUAAUCAGUUGUCCGACCUACUCCAAUUUGAUUUUUUUCACAUAGUUAGACAUAAUUUAGUACUAUGAAAUGUUUCUGACCCAAAAUAUUACGAAAUAUGAUUGUUUACAUUAAAAUGCAAAAGUUGAUGAAAAAGUAUGAUAAGGUGAAAAAAGUGACAUUUUAUGUCUAGAAAGUCAGUUUUCACCAAAAGUACAAUAACAAAAUUAGUUCCCAUUCAUCCUGUGUCCUCUAACACACUUGUGCUCUUUAUCCGCUCAAAACGC